UCCAGUUCAUGUCAAGAGGUACAAGCCCAG
rnacentral:piRNA from 1 species